rnacentral:tRNA from 1 species
GCAUCUGUAGUGUAGUGGUUAUCAUCCCAGCCUUCCAAGCUGGGGACCCGGUUUCGAUUACCGGCGGAUGCA